GGCGGCGGUCCCCAAUCCGGCAUCUCUCUCUCUCUCUCUCUCGGUCUUGAAAUUUAUUCUUUCUUUUUUUUGACAUUUACGUUUUCCUUGGAAAAAGGGGUGAGCUCAGAAGCGUGGUGGGCCUCCACCUGGGCCUCCGGGCCCGCCGAACAUAGGCCCACAGCAACUCUCGAAGAGGCAGCAGCAACACAGCACGUACGCACUGCCGACGGGAAAAAAGAAAAAAAAAAUCAAAUAAACCAAAAUCCAACAAGAAAUAUUGAUCCAUAAAUGUAUGA